CUACUUUGUAUAUAGAAAUAUAUUUUUCUUUUUCUCUAUAGCUUCCAAUUCUUUGCUGCUACAAAAAGUUCUGUUAUAAAUAUUUUGGUGUAUAUGGGGUCUUCCUUUUGAUAUUCACCUCUCUAGGGUAAAUUCAGAAUAAAAAAAUAAAAUUUUUUGGAAAAAUUUAAAACAAAAAAUAUAGUAUUGACAUAGUGGUAUGUUUUGAUAACUCAUCUGGCAUCUUAAGGUUCCUUUUCAGAGAUAUUAAUCUAUCUAAUAGCACAUUCUGUGUUUGUCCAUCCUUUUCUUCCAAUCAGCUAUCCUGUGUGAUAUUUCAAAAAAAACAACACUUCCAUCAUUAUUUCAAGAGGAUCAGACAACAAACUACUCAGAAUUGUCCUUCUUCCUCCCAAUCCUCUUUUCCUCUGGAACACAGAACGAGACCCCUCAAGUCAUGAUUAAGAAUUCACUUGCUAGCCAGAGAUCUCAAAGGUCCAAUGACCCAAGAAUUUGAAUUGGAAGGGACCUUAAAG
rnacentral:lncRNA from 1 species